rnacentral:rRNA from 1 species
UGGGGAAUAUUGGACAAUGGGCGCAAGCCUGAUCCAGCCAUACCGCGUGGGUGAAGAAGGCCUUCGGGUUGAAAAGCCCUUUUGCUGGGAAAGAAAAGCAGUCGGUUAAUACCCGAUUGUUCUGACGGUACCCAAAGAAUAAGCACCGGCUAACUUCGUGCCAGCAGCCGCGGUAAUACGAAGGGUGCAAGCGUUACUCGGAAUUACUGGGCGUAAAGCGUGCGUAGGUGGUUGUUUAAGUCUGUCGUGAAAGCCCUGGGCUCAAACUGGGAAUUGCGAUGGAAACUGGGCAACUAGAGUGUGGCGAAAGAUAGUGGAAUUCCUGGUGUAGCAGUGAAAUGCGUAGAGAUCUGGAGAAACAUCCGUGGCGAAGGCGACUGUCUGGGCCAACACUGACACUGAGGCACGAAAGCGUGGGGAGCAAACAGG